rnacentral:rRNA from 1 species
GUGUCAGCAGCCGCGGUAAUACGAAGGGUGCAAGCGUUAUUCGGAAUCACUGGGCGUAAAGGGUGCGUAGACGGUUUGUUAAGUUUGUUGUUAAAGGCUCUAGCCUAACUGGAGAGUUGCGAUGAAAACUGGCAAGCUAGAGGAUGAGAGAGAGAAGUGGAAUUCCCGGAGUAGCGGUAAAAUGCGUGGAUCUCGGGAGGAACACCAAUGGCGAAGGCAGCUUCUUGGCUCAUUCCUGACGUUGAGGCACGAAAGCGUGGGGAGCGAACAGGAUUAGAUACCCUGGUAGUCC